rnacentral:rRNA from 1 species
GGGCCUUAGCCAGCUUGAAGGUAACGCCUGCCCAGUGAGGGACACACCCUUAAACGGCCGCGCAUAAAAACGUGCAAAGGUAGCAAAAUCAUUUGUCCUCUAAAUAGGGACCAGUAUGAAUGGCAACAUGAGAAAGAAACUGUCUCUCUAGGCUAGCCAAUGAACCUGACCUGCCUGUACAAAUGCAAGCAUGAAAAAACAAGACAAAAAGACCCUGUGAAGCUUUAAAUGUAAGUCAACAGUAUGAUAAAUACAUUUUAGGUUGGGGCAACCAAAGAGAAAUACAAACCUCUCAACACGUCAUAAGGCCAACUAGCCAAACGACAAAACUACUAGACCCAGUAUUACUGAUAAAAGAACCAAGUUACUCCAGGGAUAACAGCGCUACAUUCUUUAAGAGUCCAUAUCAACAAGAAUACCUACGACCUCGAUGUUGGAUUAGGGUACCCAGAUGGCGCAAAAGUUAUCAACGGUUCGUUUGUUCAACGAUUAAAACCCCACGUGAUCUGAGUUCAGACCAGA